GUCGAGCAGAGGCUCAGCAUUGCAUAAUAACGUUCUUUAUAAAGGCGUAAUGGUAAUGCAAAAAGCUUACUAUCGUUUUCUAGCAUUUUUAGUAAUAAUUCAAGUCAUUCCCUUCAGUAGAUGACGGUUGUAAUUAUUUGACCUUUUUUUGUAGUAAUGUUUUUCAUGUUGUAUAAAUAAAGACAGUAGUUAAAUCAGAAGUCGAGCAAAAGCCAUGGCGAGUGUUUAACAAUUAUAUAGAAAGAUUCGUUUCAAGUAGAAAAAUUGGGUUUUAGGUCAAAAAGUUAGAGGGAUAAAUAUAUAUUUAAAAUAGAAUAAAAUAGACUGGCAUUUAAUGUCUUAGACGAUUUUACAAUGUUUUUAGAAUGCCGUACUUCUAAUCUUGUGAUUUGUGAUAAAUAUACAGACCAGGUAGAUACUACUGAGCAUAUUUUGGAUGCAUGCGUUUAUACCUAUCCGCCACACGAUAAUAGCAGAUAUGGAUUCACUCGAUUGUAAAAUUGUUAUAAAGGACGGUAGACCCAUUAAAGAAUGUCUGGGUGAAAGCAUCGAAAACAGUUUUGAAAUCAAUUCGCUUCCAUUCUUUGGGAUACUAUUGGUAGCCGUAAUAUUCAGUUUCUUCAUAUCCUGUAAGUUGUACUUUUCCUGUCAAAAAUCAAAAUACAAUGGACUUGAAGAGUCGUUCGAGGAUAAGACAAAGGCAGACAAGACCAGGGAAGUUACGAAAAAUCCGGAUCAAUGAAUUGAAGAACCCGUGAAGCCGAAAAGCUGUUAACUCUAGGCCUACAUACAUAUAUUAUAUAUAUAUAUAUAAUAUAUAUAUGGUGUGUGUCAAUUUAAUAUACCAUUUUCUAUAGUGUGAUAAACUGAUCGCAGACAUUUUGAAUCUUUUUUGUUUAUACAUUCAGUUACAAAUUAUACUAUUAUACUUUUUAAAAUCAAUAUUAUUAGUGGAUUACUUUGCUAAAGAGUGGGAUUUAAAUGUUUUCUAAUAGUGGUAACUGGUAACUUUUAUGCAUUUGCUUACGGCUGCUUUCAUUGCUUCUAUUUUCAUUUACUUAUUCUUUUCAUUACUUCGAUUGUUAAAUAUAAAACCUCCAACACGCUG